UACGUAGGGGGCAAGCGUUGUCCGGAAUCAUUGGGCGUAAAGCGCGUGUAGGCGGCUCGAUAAGUCCGCUCUGAAAGUCCGGGGCUCAACCCCGGGAGGCGGGUGGAUACUGUCGAGCUCGAGUCCGGAAGAGGCGAGUGGAAUUCCUGGUGUAGCGGUGAAAUGCGCAGAUAUCAGGAGGAACACCGAUGGCGAAGGCAGCUCGCUGGGACGUGACUGACGCUGAGACGCGAAAGCGUGGGGAGCAAACAGG
rnacentral:rRNA from 1 species